rnacentral:rRNA from 1 species
GACGGAAGGUGCAAGCGUUGCUCGGAAUCACUGGGCGUAAAGGGUGCGUAGGCGGCCGUGCAAGUCUGGCGUGAAAGCCCCGGGCUCAGCCCGGGAAGUGCGCUCGAAACUGCGCGGCUCGAGUGCCGGAGGGGAGAGUGGAAUUCCUGGUGUAGCGGUGAAAUGCGUAGAUAUCAGGAGGAAUACCGGUGGCGAAAGCGGCAUCCUGGACCAAUAUUGACGCUGAGGAGCGAAAGCUAGGGGAGCAAACGGG